GGUUAUGGCUCAGUGGUAGAGCGCUUGCCUAGCAUGUGCAAGGCCCUGGGUUAGAUCCGCAGCACCA
rnacentral:tRNA from 1 species